ACUCCUGCGGGAGGCAGCAGUGGGGAAUUUUGGACACUGGGCGAAAGCCUGAUCCAGCAAUGCCGCGUGAGUGAAGAAGGCCUUCGGGUUGUAAAGCUCUUUUGUCAGGGAAGAAACGGUGAAAGCUAAUAUCUUUUGCUAAUGACGGUACCUGAAGAAUAAGCACCGGCUAACUACGUGCCAGCAGCCGCGGUAAUACGUAGGGUGCAAGCGUUAAUCGGAAUUACUGGGCGUAAAGCGUGCGCAGGCGGUUUUGUAAGUCUGAUGUGAAAUCCCCGGGCUCAACCUGGGAAUUGCAUUGGAGACUGCAAGGCUAGAAUCUGGCAGAGGGGGGUAGAAUUCCACGUGUAGCAGUGAAAUGCGUAGAUAUGUGGAGGAACACCGAUGGCGAAGGCAGCCCCCUGGGUCAAGAUUGACGCUCAUGCACGAAAGCGUGGGGAGCAAACAGGAUUAGAAACCCCGGUAGUCCC
rnacentral:rRNA from 1 species